rnacentral:rRNA from 1 species
AGAGUUUGAUCCUGGCUCAGGAUGAACGCUGGCGGCGUGCUUAACACAUGCAAGUCGAACGAGCCUUCGGGCUAGUGGCGGACGGGUGAGUAACGCGUGAGAAUCUGCCCUCAGGAGGGGGAUAACGGCUGGAAACGGCCGCUAAUACCCCAUAUGCCGCGAGGUGAAACGAGUUUUCGCCUGAGGAUGAGCUCGCGUCUGAUUAGCUAGUUGGUGGGGUAAGAGCCUACCAAGGCAUCGAUCAGUAGCUGGUCUGAGAGGAUGAUCAGCCACACUGGGACUGAGACACGGCCCAGACUUCUACGGGAGGCAGCAGUGGGGAAUUUUCCGCAAUGGGCGCAAGCCUGACGGAGCAACGCCGCGUGAGGGAUGAAGGCCUCUGGGCUGUAAACCUCUUUUCUCAAGGAAGAAGAACUGACGGUACUUGAGGAAUAAGCCACGGCUAAUUCCGUGCCAGCAGCCGCGGUAAUACGGGAGUGGCAAGCGUUAUCCGGAAUUAUUGGGCGUAAAGCGUCCGCAGGCGGUCUUGAAAGUCUGUUGUUAAAGCGUGGAGCUCAACUCCAUUUCAGCAAUGGAAACUAGAAGACUAGAGUGUGGUAGGGGCAGAGGGAAUUCCCGGUGUAGCGGUGAAAUGCGUAGAUAUCGGGAAGAACACCAGUGGCGAAGGCGCUCUGCUGGGCCAUAACUGACGCUCAUGGACGAAAGCCAGGGGAGCGAAAGGGAUUAGAUACCCCUGUAGUCCUGGCCGUAAACGAUGAACACUAGGUGUCGGGGGAAUCGACCCCCUCGGUGUCGUAGCUAACGCGUUAAGUGUUCCGCCUGGGGAGUACGCACGCAAGUGUGAAACUCAAAGGAAUUGACGGGGGCCCGCACAAGCGGUGGAGUAUGUGGUUUAAUUCGAUGCAACGCGAGGAACCUUACCAGGGUUUGACAUCCUGCGAAUCUUUUGGAAACAGAAGAGUGCCUUCGGGAGCGCAGAGACAGGUGGUGCAUGGCUGUCGUCAGCUCGUGUCGUGAGAUGUUGGGUUAAGUCCCGCAACGAGCGCAACCCACGUCUUUAGUUGCCAGCAUUAAGUUGGGCACUCUAGAGAGACCGCCGGUGAUAAACCGGAGGAAGGUGUGGAUGACGUCAAGUCAUCAUGCCCCUUACAUCCUGGGCUACACACGUACUACAAUGCUACGGACAAAGGGCAGCAAACUCGCGAGAGCUAGCAAAUCCCAUAAACCGUGGCUCAGUUCAGAUCGUAGGCUGCAACUCGCCUACGUGAAGGAGGAAUCGCUAGUAGUCGCAGGUCAGCAUACUGCGGUGAAUACGUUCCCGGGCCUUGUACACACCGCCCGUCACACCAUGGAAGUUGGCCAUGCCCGAAGUCGUUACUCC